UGCUUUCAUGGGGGUUUAGCAAAGGGCUUCUUACAGAGUUUAUUGGCAUUCUGUCCACCUCCCCAUCAUGGAAAAAGUCCGUAUUUUUCCCCUCUGGUUUUUCAUGGAGGUGGGCAUACUGCCAACUGUGCUCUGUUGGCUUCUCUUUGUAAAAUCCUUGUGAUGCA
rnacentral:pre_miRNA from 1 species